rnacentral:rRNA from 1 species
GAACGCUGGCGGCAGGCCUAACACAUGCAAGUCGAGCGGAAACGAGUUAUCUGAACCUUCGGGGAACGAUAACGGCGUCGAGCGGCGGACGGGUGAGUAAUGCCUAGGAAAUUGCCCUGAUGUGGGGGAUAACCAUUGGAAACGAUGGCUAAUACCGCAUGAUGCCUACGGGCCAAAGAGGGGGACCUUCGGGCCUCUCGCGUCAGGAUAUGCCUAGGUGGGAUUAGCUAGUUGGUGAGGUAAGGGCUCACCAAGGCGACGAUCCCUAGCUGGUCUGAGAGGAUGAUCAGCCACACUGGAACUGAGACACGGUCCAGACUCCUACGGGAGGCAGCAGUGGGGAAUAUUGCACAAUGGGCGCAAGCCUGAUGCAGCCAUGCCGCGUGUGUGAAGAAGGCCUUCGGGUUGUAAAGCACUUUCAGUCGUGAGGAAGGUAGUGUAGUUAAUAGCUGCAUUAUUUGACGUUAGCGACAGAAGAAGCACCGGCUAACUCCGUGCCAGCAGCCGCGGUAAUACGGAGGGUGCGAGCGUUAAUCGGAAUUACUGGGCGUAAAGCGCAUGCAGGUGGUUUGUUAAGUCAGAUGUGAAAGCCCGGGGCUCAACCUCGGAAUAGCAUUUGAAACUGGCAGACUAGAGUACUGUAGAGGGGGGUAGAAUUUCAGGUGUAGCGGUGAAAUGCGUAGAGAUCUGAAGGAAUACCGGUGGCGAAGGCGGCCCCCUGGACAGAUACUGACACUCAGAUGCGAAAGCGUGGGGAGCAAACAGGAUUAGAUACCCUGGUAGUCCACGCCGUAAACGAUGUCUACUUGGAGGUUGUGGCCUUGAGCCGUGGCUUUCGGAGCUAACGCGUUAAGUAGACCGCCUGGGGAGUACGGUCGCAAGAUUAAAACUCAAAUGAAUUGACGGGGGCCCGCACAAGCGGUGGAGCAUGUGGUUUAAUUCGAUGCAACGCGAAGAACCUUACCUACUCUUGACAUCCAGAGAACUUUCCAGAGAUGGAUUGGUGCCUUCGGGAACUCUGAGACAGGUGCUGCAUGGCUGUCGUCAGCUCGUGUUGUGAAAUGUUGGGUUAAGUCCCGCAACGAGCGCAACCCUUAUCCUUGUUUGCCAGCGAGUAAUGUCGGGAACUCCAGGGAGACUGCCGGUGAUAAACCGGAGGAAGGUGGGGACGACGUCAAGUCAUCAUGGCCCUUACGAGUAGGGCUACACACGUGCUACAAUGGCGCAUACAGAGGGCGGCCAACUUGCGAAAGUGAGCGAAUCCCAGAAAGUGCGUCGUAGUCCGGAUUGGAGUCUGCAACUCGACUCCAUGAAGUCGGAAUCGCUAGUAAUCGUGGAUCAGAAUGCCACGGUGAAUACGUUCCCGGGCCUUGU